rnacentral:rRNA from 1 species
UACGUAGGGAGCAAGCGUUAUCCGGAAUUAUUGGGUGUAAAGGGUGCGUAGACGGGAGAGCAAGUUAGUUGUGAAAUACCUCGGCUCAACUGAGGAACUGCAACUAAAACUAUUAUUCUUGAGUGCAGGAGAGGAAAGUGGAAUUCCUAGUGUAGCGGUGAAAUGCGUAGAUAUUAGGAAGAACACCGGUGGCGAAGGCGACUUUCUGGACGAUAACUGACGUUGAGGCACGAAAGUGUGGGGAGCAUACA